AGAGUUUGAUCAUGGCUCAGGACGAACGCUGGCGGCGUGGAUUAGGCAUGCAAGUCGAACGAAUCCCAGCGGGCUUGCUCGCUGGGGGAAGUGGCGAAAGGGGCAGUAAUGCGUGGGUAACCUACCCCGGGGACGUGGAUAGCCCUCCUAACGGGGGGGUAAUACACGGCGAUCUGGCCGAGGGGCAUCUCUUGACCAGGAAACGAACCUCGCCUCGGGAGGGGCUCACGUCGUAUUAGCUUGUUGGCGGGGUAACGGCCCACCAAGGCAAAGAUGCGUAGCGGGUGUGAGAGCACGACCCGCGCCACUGGCACUGAGACACUGGCCAGACUCCUACGGGAGGCUGCAGUCGAGGAUCUUCGGCAAUGGGCGCAAGCCUGACCGAGCGACGCCGCGUGUGCGAUGAAGGCCUUCGGGUUGUAAAGCACUGUCGAGGGGGAGUAAGCCGAAAGGUUGAACUAUCCCUGGAGGAAGCACGGGCUAAGUUCGUGCCAGCCGCCGCGGUAAUUC
rnacentral:rRNA from 1 species